rnacentral:lncRNA from 1 species
CGGAUCCCGGAGAGGGGGAGCCGCGGGGACGCAGCGACAGACUCGGGGUGCUGGCAGCGGCAGCCCACGCCUCCCAGGGAUUGCAGGCCUGGGCGCCGGGGUUGGACCAGUCUCCCGGGCAUGGCACGCCCUGGUUAUUCUGUACCCGUGAUUUGUGGCGGGGCAAGACGUUAAGUUGGGUGACACCGAGGUGAGCCACGGUCCUCGGCACCAGAUGAGGAACCACUGUCUCAAUAAGUGACACCAGUGAUGCUGUUAAACAAGGACAAUCCGGUUCAUGGAUUGUGACAACGCACGCUGACAUCAAGCAGACCCUGCCGUCAGCUGAGUGCCAUGAGAGGACAGUGACAACCUUGGGGCCUCAUGGUGAAGGUGGCAGAAACUUUGUUAGCCUGGGUGCUCAGGGUGGACAGCUGCUCUUGCCAACCGGGAACAUUUGCCUUGAGCUCUUUUGUAAGUGACAGAUAAGCUUUUAUUGUACUUCAGCCAAGAUACAAACAUUGGACGUAUUUGUACAGCAGCU